UCUUCCAAGUUGAUUUUUCGCGAUUAGACAUCAAUGACUCAAUGGUUGAACAGUUUUCCCUAACGAUUGUCAAAACCUAUUUAUAUGAUCGUUACUUAAAUUAUUGCAUUUAGAAGUUGGUGUUUCAAUAUUGGCAGCACUUAAUGCGUAUUCUACCAUAUUGUAUCCACAAGUAGUCGGCCAUUUUGCUAAAUCCAUCUUUUCAUCAUAAUUCAACAUGAAGAUCGGUCUUUGCGCAUAUAGUGGAUAUAAAAUAUAUCCCGGCCAUGGUAAAACCAUGGUAAAAGUGGAUGGAAAAACGUUCACAUUUUUAAAUUCAAAAUGUGAAUCUGCACAUUUAAUGAGACGUAAUCCAAGAAAAGUUACAUGGACUGUAUUAUACAGACGGAAGCACAAAAAGGGACAAGAAGAAGAACAAGCGAAAAAAAGGACAAGGCGUACUCAAAAAUUCCAACGUGCGAUUGUAGGUGCAUCUCUUACAGAUAUUUUAGCGAAACGUAAUAUGAAACCAGAAAUUCGUAAAGCACAGAGAGAACAAGCAAUUAAAUUUCAGAUUGUCUUAGAAUAAAUGAAUUGCUUCACCCAGAAUUGUAAUAUACUUCACACUGUCUGGCUUUUGCGGGUUCAUACAAUUCUUAUACUAGAGCUGCAAAAGAACAAAAGAAAGCUGCAAAAGCAACAAAGAAAGCAGUUGUACCUGCUAAGGCAAAAGUACAACCAAAACAUAAAGCUGCAAAGAUAACACAAAAAGCAGCUCCCCGUGUCGGAGGAAAACGUUAAAUUUCCGCACUAUAUAAAUAAAAAGACCUUUAGAUUUAAAAAA